CUUUUCAGGGGUGGUAUAAACAGUGGCUGUGUUACAGGGUUGUUCUCUGUCUUUCUUUCUAGGAAGUGAAGCCAGAUAGCAGCAGUCAAGGUCAAGUGAGCGAGGUGUUCCACUUGUAUUUUGCCUACCAGGGCUGAGCCCCCUUGCUGACCAGCUGACAGAGCUGGUUUGCCACCCUCGAGUUGCUCUUGCGAGCCCUCUGGAAGUAUUACAGGAAUCUGUGAUGAAGCUGUUACCUUUUCCAUUUGGAGGUGUGCCCUGCGACGACGGCAUCGGCCUCUGAGUGUGGCCGGAGCAGGCGGGCCGAGGACCCGGGCAUUCUUAGGAGAUGCCAGCUAAGGGAGAACAGCCCACUGAGGGCAGGAGCUUCCCAGAUGGCAAGGCGGCCGUCUUUUGCACCCGACGUGGAUUCACAUCCCCAGACAUCCGAGAGAUAAGUCGAGGGCUACACCCCACAGAGGGGAUGAAAGCAGGGUGCUGGGUCGGGACUCAUCAGGAGGGGUUUUUGAAUAAGCUUUGGAGUCGGGGAUGUCUGAGAAAGAGCCCCUUAGGCCACGUAAAGGGGAAGUCUCACUUUUGAUCACAACGCUGAGGUGCACAGGGCAGAGCAGUCCCCGUGCGUGUCACUUGUGUAUCAUGUGUUCUGUGUCUUUUGGGCAUCUUGUGUUGGAUGUCUUUUGUCUUACCCCUUUGAGGGGAUUAUCCAAAAUGCCAGGCAUCAUCCUUAGCAUCUCCAAUUCCACAUUCCUCGGCCCGGUGCCGAUACCGUUGAACCUUUGACCUGCGAGCUCGGACUCCAUCGGAAUCGCAUCUCUCUUUAGAAGCGUUGAGUCAGACGUCUUUUAUGGUCUUGUUCUGAGCUGUAUCAGCAGCUGUGCACCACAGUGAUCCAUUAUAGUGGAUUAGGACUUGUAAGGAUGUGGAGAUAGAUAGAGGAUGCUGAUGGUGCAGUUCUCAGGCAUCCAUCUUUGUGGUUUUGCCAGGUGGCUCCUGGAAUGAGUCCUUCUGUUGGCAUCUUCUUCUGCCAGGUUUCUUCGAGCCUCAUUGGCUCAUUGUUGGUCUUGCCUAGGUCAUCUCAUUGUGCCUUCUCUUGGUCCCUGUGGUCAUUCUUCUUGCUGAGAGUUUUCUCUCCUUGUUGCAUCCCGUCAUUUGUCAUCUCCUGCAUGACAGGCCUCUGUGUGUGCUUGGCCUGGAGCUGCUCUGCCCUGCUGCAUAGUCUGGGGUGUGGGUGUAAUGGGACUAAGACUGUACUGUUCAUUUCUCGAUGGAUGGUAUUCCUAGGUUGAUGCAGGAUGGCUGGAACUGUUAAGUUACCAUGCAGCACCUUGACUUGUGUAAUAACUUUCUUUCAGAGGCAGAUGGAUUAAAUCCCUGGCAGAGUGCCCCAUACCAGGUGAGGGGGUUCCCAUGGGAAGGAAGUAAUGCUGGAUAUUGGCAGUCAAGGUUGAUGGAGUGAGGUGGUCCACUUGCAGGAUGUCCUGGCCCUGGAUGCUGGAGGGUGCAAGCCUAAGGUUUGUCCUGGCCACCUCCAGAGUCAGAUCAAGAUUUGAGGUACCGUGAGCAGGUGUGGAGCUGAAGUUUGGAAAGAGCAGGUCCCCAAGGCCGAUUCCCAUCCCUGCAGUCACCGAUGCUACCGCUUUUCCCAGAAUCUGCCCUUCCAGGUCAUGGAGCAGCAGUUGGAAGAUGUGUUGAUGUGUCUUUGUCAGUGGAGUGUUAGCCUGUUGGAGUGCUGGCCUGGAUUUGGGAGGAGCCAAGUCGCCUGGAGCAGUGAGGUUUUUCCUGUCAGAAAUCCAUGCUGGGGAUGUUUUCCCUGGCUGUCCCAAGGGGAAGGAACAGCUCUGGAGUUUUUGCAGCCACAGGCUGGGGAUGCAUCCCCUGAAAACCGGUUCAGGCUCGUUCAUCUGACUCUGCCCCCGACCUGUGGCUUCCAGGGAGCCUUCUGGUCUUGUGGAUAUUCCCAGGAAAGGAUAUUCCAGCACCUGCUUUUUAAGCCAGGAAUUCCAAGCCCAGAGCUUUCUAGGCCUCAUUUGAGGAUAAUUCCAAGAAUUUGGAAGUCGUUGGAAAAGAAUGAGGAAAGAAGGUGAACCUGAUCCAUUUCUAGUAAUUCUGAACUUCUC